rnacentral:lncRNA from 1 species
GGAACCGAGGCAGGCAGAGAGGAGGGUGGGAAGGAAGGAGAGAAGUAAGGAGGGAAGGCAGGACGGUGGUCAAGCACAAAAGACGAUGAGCGUUUUCUUGGAGGACAAGAAGGUAGGGCCAUGAGCACCCUGUGGACACGUCUUCUCGGUCAGGUACAGAAUUUCGAGCUGGGAAAGGGAACCUGGAGAUCACCACCCGCCUCCCCCGCCCGGCCCCAGCUCUCAGGACUUUUCCAAUUGGACGACAGUUAUGAAGGCUGUUCCUCCAAACCUGCUCUGGAAACGGGAGAAAGCAUCCAGGGAGAGAGAGACGACGAUGAAGAGGAAACCUGAGUGUGAAAGAGGAAAGGACAGUAAGCAAGCGAAUGUCAGCCAUGGCUUCUCUGACUUUCUUCUUGGAAUUUCGGGGCAACAAACAAAACUGAGGAGACCUCAGGGUGUCCACUCGCCCCUGCGAGGAGAUGACUAGUUUCUGGGCAAAAGCAGUGUGGGCGAGGGAAGGAUGCCCGAGGCCUCCUCCCCAGAGAACUGACAGUUCUUUAUUUUCAAGAUUGCUUAGCUUUAGAAUUACUAUCAGUCAGGGUCCAAACACUGAUAGAGACACCAUGCUGAUUAUUUUAAUGGAAAGAAUUUAGUAUAAAGAAUUAUGACUCAACUGUUGGAGGACUAAAAAGGUGAAAAAAAAGGUACUGAAGUAUCAUGGAGAUUUAACUGCAAGAAGCAGCUGCCAGCCCAAGGCUGAGGGAACAAAGGGAAGAGGUUGGAGGUGGCCUGCGUGGCUCAGGCCCUCCCUCUGAGGAGGAGGCACUGCCCGGUGGGACAGGAGCCCCAGGAGCUCGAAGGUCUUGUGGAUCUGGACACAGAACUCUGAGGGGGGGCCCUGCCAGCUGGUGCUGGUGUCUGAGGAGGUGUGAUGAGGCUGGUUAUGGAAGUGUUGGGAGAAUGGCAAACUGCAGCUACUGGAACCAACUGUUGCUGUCAGGGUGAAGAGCAGU